UCUCGAUUCGUCUAGUGGUCAGGAUACCUGCUUGUCAUCGUUUCUCUGGUAGACUAGGUAAAUAACCUCUAGCAAGAUGAAGCUCGCAGGUGGCCGGGGUUCAAUUCCCCGAUCGAGAG